GAGGUGCUGCCCCAGGAGAGCCUGUGGAGGCACAGCGACUGGAUUACUGGCUCCUGGUGCUUCUGCCUCUUGGAGAUCCUCUCUGGGCUGAGGGUCUCUUUCUUCUUCAGCAAGAUUGUCUCUGCCUCCCAACUCUGGCUGGCCUCCCCAACCCCUAAUGUCUUGGGAGUUCCUUAAAGACUGGGGUGGGAGGUCAUGGGGCCUCUGUCUUCACAUUCAGCUCCUGCCUUAGGAGAUUCUCUGCUGCCUUGAAGAAGGUGAAAUAUGUGGAGGGUCUUUUGUUUCCCAAGCCAGUACAGUACCUUGAAAAGUACAGUAGUACAGUACAACAGCUGGCACACAGGGGCUGGCAUCGAGUGAACAGGCAACAAAAGCUACUGACAGGAGGAGGGAGAGGAGGUGGGAGAUGGUAGAGCUGAAGGAUCGUCAGCAAUAGGAGACGGAGGGCGAGCUGCCAUUUCCCUCACGCCUGACGCGGAUGGCACGGGAUCUGGCUCCUCGCUGGAACCAGAUGCACAUUCGCAUCUUUGGACGUUUUCAACUUGAAGGCAGAAUGUAUAUCUGGGGAAAAUUCCGGAGAAAUCGCCAUUCUCUCUGCAGGUAAUCCAGAGACCCAACGAACACAAUGUCCUUCAGCUCCUGACGGGUGUAGCUGCUAG